CGAACUCUGGUAUUGAUUGGUGCUUGCAUCAUGAUUUACAUUUGAGUGAGUGGCGAACUGGUGAGUAACACGUGGGAAACCUGCCCAGAAGCGGGGGAUAACACCUGGAAACAGAUGCUAAUACCGCAUAACAACUUGGACCGCAUGGUCCGAGCUUGAAAGAUGGCUUCGGCUAUCACUUUUGGAUGGUCCCGCGGCGUAUUAGCUAGAUGGUGGGGUAACGGCUCACCAUGGCAAUGAUACGUAGCCGACCUGAGAGGGUAAUCGGCCACAUUGGGACUGAGACACGGCCCAAACUCCUACGGGAGGCAGCAGUAGGGAAUCUUCCACAAUGGACGAAAGUCUGAUGGAGCAACGCCGCGUGAGUGAAGAAGGGUUUCGGCUCGUAAAACUCUGUUGUUAAAGAAGAACAUAUCUGAGAGUAACUGUUCAGGUAUUGACGGUAUUUAACCAGAAAGCCACGGCUAACUACGUGCCAGCAGCCGCGGUAAUACGUAGGUGGCAAGCGUUGUCCGGAUUUAUUGGGCGUAAAGCGAGCGCAGGCGGUUUUUUAAGUCUGAUGUGAAAGCCUUCGGCUCAACCGAAGAAGUGCAUCGGAAACUGGGAAACUUGAGUGCAGAAGAGGACAGUGGAACUCCAUGUGUAGCGGUGAAAUGCGUAGAUAUAUGGAAGAACACCAGUGGCGAAGGCGGCUGUCUGGUCUGUAACUGACGCUGAGGCUCGAAAGUAUGGGGUAGCAAACAGGAUUAGAUACCCUGGGUAGUCCAUACCGUAAACGAUGAAUGCUAAGUGUUGG
rnacentral:rRNA from 2 species